UUCUUGUACGAUCACUGAGGUUAAGCAAUGUCGAGUCUGGUCAGUAAUUAGAUGGGUGACCGCUUGGGAAUACCAGGUGCUGUAAG